ensembl:lncRNA
GGACAUGAAUACAGUGACCUGAGGGUCAUCUCUAUGGUGCAGGGAUAAAAUGGAAGAGGAAAUCAGGAAGCAGAGAGAGGAAAUACUAACAAUUCUGUGGCUGCCAAAGACAGGAGAUAGGGCAGUGGGCUAGAGGAAUCCAUGUAGGCUUUUUCUUUUUUUUUUUAUUUAAUAAGACAUGAGACAUGUAGGAUUUUUUUUCUUUUUUGGGGCCACACCUGUGGCAUAGGGAAGGAAGCUCCCAGGCUAGGGGUUGAAUCGGAGCUGUAGCUGCCAGUCUACGCCACAGCCACAGCAACUCUGGAUCUGAGUCGUGUCUGCAACGUACACCACAGCUCAUGGCAGCACUGGAUCUUUAAUCCACUGAGCGGUGCCAGGGAUUGAAUCCGCAUCCUCAUGGAUCCCAGUCAGGAUUUUUACCACUGAGCCACAACAGGUCCCCCCCGUGUAGGCUGAGAGAGAGUAGUUGAACAAGCUGGGUAGAGAUGGGAUAACUGAAGUGUAAGAUUCUUGGGGAAAAAAAAACAAAUCCCUAAGGAGGAAUAUUGUUUACAGCAUUUCCCAAAUUUACCUGACAACCUCCCCACUUCAUGCAGAUUUUUUUUUUUUUCCCCUAGGGCCGCUCCCGUGGCAUAUGGAGGUUCCCAGGCUAGGGGUUGAAUCGGAGCUGUAGCCACUGGCCUACACCAGAGCCACAGCAACUCGGGAUCUGAGCCACGUCUGCAACCCACUCCACAGCUCACGGCAACACCGGAUCCUCAACCCACUGAGCAAGACCAGGGAUCGAACCCACAACCUCAUGGUUCCUAGUCGGAUUCGUUAACCACUGCGCCACAACAGGAACUCCCAUGCAGAUUUUAAUUAGUGGUCUGCAGAGAGCACUGUGGCCCAAAGAAGGUCAAGGGCCCAUCCCUCAAACAAAGCCAUGCUUUGGCUUCAGCCAGUCAGGAUCCUGUCCUCUGGAGCUGGGGGUGGGACUAAAUGUCUGAAGAGGAGGAAGGGUUAUGUUGCAGAAAAGACCACUAAACCAGCUGAAUGAGGAGGAGGAGGAUGGAAAUACCAGGUGGUAAUUCUUCCUCCUGGAACUCUGGGUAACAGAGAUCCUUGAGUUGGAUUCCACUGGGACUUUAGCAUGUAGAGGUAGAGUGUUCAAGGAAUACGCUUUCAACUCCUUGUCUGUAGAGUUUAGUGUAGAGAAGGGUUAAAAGCUAGCUAAGUUGAGGGUUCUCUUGUAUCUCCAAAAACACCGUUAAACAUCUAACUCAGUGUCAGGAGUUCCUGUUGUGGCCCAGUGGUUAACGAACCUGACUAGGAUCCAUGAGGAUGUGGGUUUGAUCUCUGGCCUUGCUCAAGGACCCGACGUUGCCAUGAGCUGUGGUGGAGGUGGCAGACAGGGCUUGGAUCUGGCAUUGCUGCAGCUCUGGUAUAGGCCAGCAGCUGUAGCUCCAGUUCUACCCCUAGCCUGGGAAUUUCCGUAUGCCGCAAGUGCGGCUCUAAAAAAAGCAAAAUAAAAUAAAAUAAAAUAAAAUAAAAUAAAAUAAAACCAGUGUUAGUAAUCUGAGAAGAUCCCCAACUCAGGAAGCAGGCUCUGGGCUGUUAAAAGCAGAAGUACUUUAGGAGCUAAGCAAGCCCCAGCCCCCUGGGAUAAUUGUGCAUUUAUUAACUCAGCAGUUCCAGCUGUGGAUACUUAAUUGAAGGAGGAAAGAUAGAGACCAUGUUGGGCAAACGACGGGGUACUGACUGCUUUAUGGGUCCUACAUUAGCUGAGGAGCUUCACAGAAGAUCCAGGGUACAGUGGAAGGUAGAUGUGAGUCUCUGAGGCGCUCAAGAUUGAUUCCUUCUCCUGGAGUUCCUGUUGUGGCUCAGUGGAAACAAAUCUGAAUCAAAUCCAUGAGGACAUGAAGGUUUGAUCCCUGGCCUCACUCAGUGGGUUGAGGAUCCGGCAUUGCUGUGACUUGUGGUGUAGGUCGCAGACUCGGCUCAGAUCUGGUGUUGCUGUGGCUGUGGCGUAGGCCGGCAGCUGCAGCUCUGAUUUGACCCCUAGCCUGGGAACUUCCAUAUGCCAAGGGUGCAGACCUAAAAAGUUGAAAAAAAAAAAAAAGAUUGCUUUUUCUUUCCCUGGCGAUGGUACUAUUUGGCUCAGGACUUCCCUCCACUUUGCCUUAAUUUAGCAAAUACUUAUAGGCACCUAGUAUGUGUAAGUUGCCGUGUAUGUGCUGCCCUGGACUGUAGGAGUAUUGUCUUUUGCUGUUUACGCAGCACUUUCCUACAUAGGAUCUCCACUGAAUGGUUCUGAGGAUAGAUGUUGAGUCAGAAAGACCAAAGGGAGGAUGGUGUUCAGCCAUUUAUUAUCUGUGCGACCUUGGGUAAGUCAUCUGUCUAAGCCUCAAUUUCCUCUUCUACAAAAUGGUAAUAAUAGAAGCGCCUAGCUCAAAGGAUUAUUGGGAGGAAUCAGUGAGAUAAUACAAGAGCUUAACACAUAGUAAGCACUCAAUUAAUUAAUAACAAUUAUGCUUAUUAUACAUCCUUUUUUCUUUUUUUGGUCUUUUUAGGGCCUCACCCACAGCAUAUGGAAGUUCCCAGGCUAGGGGUGGAAUGAGAGCUUCAGCUGCUGGUCUAUGCCACAGCCACAGCAACACCGGAUCUGAGCUGCAGUCUGCAAUCUGCACCACGGCUCACGGCAACGAUGGAUCCUUAACCCACCCAAUGAGGUGAGGGAUUGAAUAUACGUCCUCAUGGAUACUAGUUGGGUUGUUACCAUGGAAUCAUGAUGGGAACCCCAUUUAUUCUUUUGUUUUCUUUUAGGGCUGCACAUGCAGCAUAUGGAAGUUUCUGGACCAGGGAUUGAAUCUAAGCAACGCCGGAUCCUUUAGCCCAGUGCACCAGGCCAAGGGAUCAAAUUUGAGCCUCUGCAGUGACCCAAGCUGCUGUACUCGGACUUUUAACCCACUGCACCAUAGCAGAAACUCCCUUAUUAUUCAUUCUUGGUCCACUUAUUCAUGCAAGAAUCCUUUGAUUUUGAUGCUAUUAUCUUAUUUCACAGAUCUUCACUGAGCACCUGUUACAUUCCAGGUGCUGAAAACCCACAGUGACCAAAAGAGCAUUUAGAUACAGAAAAGAAGGGGUCCCAGAACUGAGCCCUCAGAAAAGAAAGAGGAGCUAUCAAAGGGAAUUCAGUUUUGAUGUGAAAGGGAGAAGAUAAAUGGAAGAGGUGGCUGGAGGGAGAUGUAGAAUCAAGAAGACUUUUGUUUUUAAAACCUUUUUUUCAGAGUUCCCAUUGUGGCCCAGCGGAAAUGAAUCUGACUAGGAACCAUGAGGUUGCGGGUUCGAUCCUUGGCAUCGCUCAGUGGGUUAAGGAUCCAGUGUUGCUGUGAGCUGUGGCGUAGGCUGCAGACAUGGCUCAGAUCUGGCAUUGCUGUGGCUGUGGCGUAGGCUGGCAGCAACAGCUCCAAUUGGACCCGGAGCUGGGAAACUCCACAUGCUGUGGGUGCAGCCCUAAAAAAGACAAAAGACAAAAAAUUUAAAAAUAAAUAAACCUUUUUUUUCCUAAGGAUAUUGGGACCUUUUUUUUCAGACUGCAGCAUGCAGAAGUUUCCAGGCCAGCAACUGAACCCCAGCCAUAGCAGUGACAAUGCUGAAUCUUUAACCACUAGGCCACCAGGGAACUCCUGAGACUUUUUUUUUUUUUUUUUUAGGAAGGUGGGAAUGAUCCAGGAUAGAGGGAGAAAUUGAUGACUAUGGAAAGAGGGAUUCAAAGUGCAAGCAGUGGGGUUGGCUCUGAUAACUGUGACAUCUUCAUCCAAAAGCACUUAUUGCGGCUCAGAGGGUUAAGAAUUUGACAUAGUGUCCAUGAUGAGGUGGGCUUGAUCCCUGGCCUUGCUCAUUGGUUUAAGAAUCCAGUGUUGCCGCAAGCUAUGGUAUAUGUCACAGAUGUGGCUUGGAUCUGGAUGUGUUUUGGAUUCAGGUGUUGCUGUGGUUAUGGUGCCUGCAGCUGCAGUUCUGAUUAGAUCCCUAGCCAGGGGAACUGCCAUAUGCUACAGGUGCAGCCAUAAAAAGAAAAAAAAACAAAAAGCAAAACAAACAAAGAACACAGGGAGCUAGAACUACAUAUAAUAUACUGUGAUAAACCAUAGUGGAAAAGCAUGUGAAAAAGAACAUAUAACUGAAUCACUUUGCUGUACAGCAGAAAUGAACACGACGUUGUAAAUCAACUAUACUUCAAUGAAAUAAAAGUUUUAUAAAAGCCCAGGGAACUAUACUCAAUAUCUUGUAAUAAUCUAUAAUGGAAAAGUAUUGGAAAAAAAGUAUAUAUAUGUAUGGAUGUGUAAAUGAAUCACUUUACUGUACACUUGAAACUAACACAAAUUUUAAGUCAACUAUAUUUCAAUUUAGAGAAAGCAGGGCCAAGUCCCCAUUGUUGCUCAGUGGUAACAAACCCGACCAGUAUCCAAGAGGAGUUGGGUUCAAUCCCUGACCUCGCUCAGUGGGUUAAGGAUCCAGCAUUGCCAUGAACUGUGGUGUAGGUCACAGUGGUGGCUCGGAUCUGGCAUUGUUGUGGCUGUGGUGCGUGUCAACAGCUACAGUUCCGAUUCAACUCCUAGCCUAGGAACUUUCAUAUGCUGCAGGUGCGGCCUUAAAAAGACCAAAAAAAAAA